rnacentral:rRNA from 1 species
GAUGAACGCUAGCGGCAGGCCUAACACAUGCAAGUCGAGGGGUAACUAGAGUGAUAGCAAUAUUACUUUGGCUAGACCGGCGCUCGGGUGCGUAACACGUAUGCAACCUACCUUAUACCGGGGAAUAACUUCGAGAAAUCGACGCUCAUACCCCAUAACAUUGCGAAGAGGCAUCUCUUUGCAAUUAAAGCUCCGGCGGUAUAAGAUGGGCAUGCGUCCAAUUAGCUAGUUGGUGAGGUAACGGCUCACCAAGGCUACGAUUGGUAGGGGUUCUGGGAGGAUGAUCCCCCACACUGGUACUGAGACACGGACCAGACUCCUACGGGAGGCAGCAGUGAGGAAUAUUGCGCAAUGGACGAAAGUCUGACGCAGCCAUGCCGCGUGCAGGAUGACGGCCCUAUGGGUUGUAAACUGCUUUUGUACGGGAAUAAACCCUUCUACGUGUAGGAGGCUGAAGGUACCGUAAGAAUAAGCACCGGCUAACUCCGUGCCAGCCGCCGCCGUAA